UCCGUAGGUGGAUAAUUAAGUCAGAGGUGAAAUCCUGCAGCUCAACUGUAGAAUUGCCUUUGAUACUGGUUAUCUUGAGUCAUUAUGAAGUGGUUAGAAUGUGUAGUGUAGCGGUGAAAUGCAUAGAUAUUACACAGAAUACCGAUUGCGAAGGCAGAUCACUAAUAAUCAACUGACACUGAUGGACGAAAGCGUGGGGAGCGAACAGGAUUAGAUACCCUGGUAGUCC
rnacentral:rRNA from 1 species